rnacentral:snoRNA from 1 species
ACGGGUGUAAGUGAUGAUUGAAUUUUUUUCCCCAUCUGAGUGACAGUGUUGAUUUCUCACUGUUCAAGCCAGAUCGUGUCACCAGU